rnacentral:rRNA from 1 species
CGGAGGGGACUAGCGUUGUUCGGAAUUACUGGGCGUAAAGCGCACGUAGGCGGAUUUGUAAGUCAGGGGUGAAAUCCCGAGGCUCAACCUCGGAACUGCCUUUGAUACUGCAAAUCUCGAGUCCGGAAGAGGUGAGUGGAAUUCCUAGUGUAGAGGUGAAAUUCGUAGAUAUUAGGAAGAACACCAGUGGCGAAGGCGGCUCACUGGUCCGGUACUGACGCUGAGGUGCGGAAGCGUGGGGAGCAAACAGGAUUAGAUACCCUGGUAGUCCACGCCGUAAACUAUGGGUGCUAGCCGUCGGGGAGCUUGCUCUUCGGUGGCGCAGCAAACGCAUUAAGCACCCCGCCUGGGGAGUACGGUCGCAAGAUUA